rnacentral:rRNA from 1 species
GACGAACGCUGGCGGCGUGCCUAAUACAUGCAAGUCGAACGAACGGAGGAAGAGCUUGCUCUUCCAAAGUUAGUGGCGGACGGGUGAGUAACACGUGGGCAACCUGCCUGUAAGUUGGGGAUAACUCCGGGAAACCGGGGCUAAUACCGAAUGAUAAAGUGUGGCGCAUGCCACGCUUUUGAAAGAUGGUUUCGGCUAUCGCUUACAGAUGGGCCCGCGGUGCAUUAGCUAGUUGGUAGGGUAAUGGCCUACCAAGGCAACGAUGCAUAGCCGACCUGAGAGGGUGAUCGGCCACACUGGGACUGAGACACGGCCCAGACUCCUACGGGAGGCAGCAGUAGGGAAUCUUCCGCAAUGGACGAAAGUCUGACGGAGCAACGCCGCGUGUAUGAAGAAGGUUUUCGGAUCGUAAAGUACUGUUGUUAGAGAAGAACAAGGAUAAGAGUAACUGCUUGUCCCUUGACGGUAUCUAACCAGAAAGCCACGGCUAACUACGUGCCAGCAGCCGCGGUAAUACGUAGGUGGCAAGCGUUGUCCGGAUUUAUUGGGCGUAAAGCGCGCGCAGGCGGUCUUUUAAGUCUGAUGUGAAAGCCCCCGGCUUAACCGGGGAGGGUCAUUGGAAACUGGAAGACUGGAGUGCAGAAGAGGAGAGUGGAAUUCCACGUGUAGCGGUGAAAUGCGUAGAUAUGUGGAGGAACACCAGUGGCGAAGGCGACUCUCUGGUCUGUAACUGACGCUGAGGCGCGAAAGCGUGGGGAGCAAACAGGAUUAGAUACCCUGGUAGUCCACGCCGUAAACGAUGAGUGCUAAGUGUUAGGGGGUUUCCGCCCCUUAGUGCUGCAGCUAACGCAUUAAGCACUCCGCCUGGGGAGUACGACCGCAAGGUUGAAACUCAAAGGAAUUGACGGGGGCCCGCACAAGCGGUGGAGCAUGUGGUUUAAUUCGAAGCAACGCGAAGAACCUUACCAGGUCUUGACAUCCUUUGACCACUCUGGAGACAGAGCUUUCCCUUCGGGGACAAAGUGACAGGUGGUGCAUGGUUGUCGUCAGCUCGUGUCGUGAGAUGUUGGGUUAAGUCCCGCAACGAGCGCAACCCUUGAUUUUAGUUGCCAGCAUUUAGUUGGGCACUCUAAAGUGACUGCCGGUGCAAGCCGGAGGAAGGUGGGGAUGACGUCAAAUCAUCAUGCCCCUUAUGACCUGGGCUACACACGUGCUACAAUGGAUAGUACAAAGGGUCGCGAAGCCGCGAGGUGGAGCUAAUCCCAUAAAACUAUUCUCAGUUCGGAUUGUAGGCUGCAACUCGCCUACAUGAAGCCGGAAUCGCUAGUAAUCGUGGAUCAGCAUGCCACGGUGAAUACGUUCCCGGGCCUUGUACACACCGCCCGUCACACCACGAGAGUUUGUAACACCCGAAGUCGGUAGGGUAACCUUUAUGGAGCCAGCCGCCGAAGGUGGGACAGAUAAUUGGGGUGAAGUCGUAACAAGGUAGCCGUAUCGGAAGGUGCGGCUGGAUCACCUCCUUUCUAAGGAAAAGGAAACCUGUGAGUUUUCGUUCUUCUCUAUUUGUUCAGUUUUGAGAGGUUAGUACUUCUCAGUAUGUUUGUUCUUUGAAAACUAGAUAAGAAAGUUAGUAAAGUUAGCAUAGAUAAUUUAUUAUUUAUGACACAAGUAACCGAGAAUCAUCUGAAAGUGAAUCUUUCAUCUGAUUGGAAGUAUCAUCGCUGAUACGGAAAAUCAGAAAAACAACCUUUACUUCGUAGAAGUAAAUUGGUUAAGUUAGAAAGGGCGCACGGUGGAUGCCUUGGCACUAGGAGCCGAAGAAGGACGGGACUAACACCGAUAUGCUUUGGGGAGCUGUACGUAAGCGUUGAUCCAGAGAUUUCCGAAUGGGGGAACCCACUAUCUUUAGUCGGAUAGUAUCCUUACGUGAAUACAUAGCGUGAGGAAGGCAGACCCAGGGAACUGAAACAUCUAAGUACCUGGAGGAAGAGAAAGAAAAAUCGAUUUCCUGAGUAGCGGCGAGCGAAACGGAAAGAGCCCAAACCAAGAAGCUUGCUUCUUGGGGUUGUAGGACACUCUAUACGGAGUUACAAAAGAAAGUUAUAAAUGAAGCGGUCUGGAAAGGCCCGCCAAAGACGGUAACAGCCCGGUAGUUGAAAUGGCUUUCCCUCCAGAGUGGAUCCUGAGUACGGCGGAACACGUGAAAUUCCGUCGGAAUCCGGGAGGACCAUCUCCCAAGGCUAAAUACUCCCUAGUGACCGAUAGUGAACC